UGAAUAUGGUGGGCAGCUCUGGAAC
rnacentral:piRNA from 1 species